rnacentral:lncRNA from 1 species
UCACAGUCUAUUUGAUCUUUGUUUUCUGAGAUUAGUAAGAAUUAGGCUAGGGAAAAAGACCCCUUUUUCAAUUGCUCCAUACUACAUUUUUAAACAUGGCUCCCCAAACAUCAGAAAGAAUCUACACUGUUAAUGAAAUACUUUACAUAUUAAAAAGAAAAAUCAUUGAUUUGGACCAUGCAAAAUUCUGAAAUACAUCUCUAUCAUUCCAAUUAUAACAGGUUAAAAACACUAUAGGAAAAAGUGAGGAAGAUAUGUGCCAAAACCUAAGCACCUGAAUCCUGGCGAAAAUCUGCAAUGAGGUAUCUUUUGGAGGUUGUUUUAUUAUAUCAGAAACUUAGUUCUUAAAACACUUAUCCAAAGUCAAUGGAUUUGCUUUAUUUUAUUUAAAAAUAAAGUCAUUCUUGCAGCAAGAGGGCUAAAACCCAGGUAGGUUUCAUUACAAGAAAGGAUUUAGCCAGGCACGGUGGCGCACGCCUGUAAUCCCAGCAUGAGCCACCAUGCCCAGCCAACUUUCUUAAAAACAACUUUUUAUCACUGUGUCCAAUUCUGGGUUUUUAUCACAUUCUCACAAAGUUCUAUACAUCAAAUAAUCUGAGCUGGUUAAAGAAGAUGACAAAAUGAAUGCAACAUUUAAUACAGUUUUUAUUUGUUUAAUUUGGUAAAUGUAGAAUGUAAUGGUUUCAAGGCAAACCCUGGACUACUUCAGUCACAAC